rnacentral:rRNA from 1 species
UUGACCUCGGAUCAGGUAGGAUUACCCGCUGAACUUAAGCAUAUCAAUAAGCGGAGGAAAAGAAACCAACAGGGAUUGCCCCAGUAACGGCGAGUGAAGCGGCAACAGCUCAGAUUUGGAAUCUGGCCUUCGGGUCCGAGUUGUAAUCUGGAGAGGAUGCUUCUGGCGCGGUGCCUUCCGAGUUCCCUGGAACGGGACGCCGGAGAGGGUGAGAGCCCCGUACGGUUGGACACCUAGCCUUUGUGAAGCUCCUUCGACGAGUCGAGUAGUUUGGGAAUGCUGCUCAAAAUGGGAGGUAAAUUUCUUCUAAAGCUAAAUAUUGGCCAGAGACCGAUAGCGCACAAGUAGAGUGAUCGAAAGAUGAAAAGCACUUUGAAAAGAGAGUUAAAAAGUACGUGAAAUUGUUGAAAGGGAAGCGCCUGUGGCCAGACUUGCGCCGCACGGACCAUCCAGCGUUCUCGCUGGUGCACUCCGCGCGGCGCAGGCCAGCAUCGGUUUUCCUAGGGGGAUAAAGGUCGCGGGAACGUAGCUCCUCCGGGAGUGUUAUAGCCCGUGGCGUCAUGCCCCUGGGGGGACCGAGGACCGCGCUUCGGCAAGGAUG